rnacentral:rRNA from 1 species
UACGUAGGAGGCGAGCGUUGUCCGGAGUUACUGGGCGUAAAGGGUGCGCAGGCGGCGUCACGCGUGGCUAGUUGAAAUCUCCUGGCUUACCUGGGAGGGUGGUAGCCAGACGGUGGCGCUUGAGGGUCGGAGAGGGGCGUGGAAUUCCGGGUGGAGCGGUGAAAUGCGUAGAGAUCCGGAGGAACACCGACGGCGAAGGCAGCGCCCUGGACGACAACUGACGCUGAGGAGCGAAAGCGUGGGGAGCGAACAGG